AUGGUUUGGCCCCACUCCCCUUCUGGGCGUUUUUCUGUGAAAUCUUUAUGUGGUAAGCUGAUCUCUGGCUCCACUACUUCCAAAUUAAAGUUGAUCUGGAGGGAUCGUAUCCCUCCUAAGAUCAAGAUUUUCCUCUGGCAAGCUUCUCGCGGGCGGCUGCCGGCUGGUGAUCAGGUCCGCAAACGUAAUGGCCCUGGGUCUGAUCGUUGUGCCCUAUGUGGGCUAAGAGAAGACACGAUGCAUAUUUUCUUUAAUUGUGUGCUGGCUAAACUCUUCUGGUGUUGUAUCAGAUCAUGGUUGCAUGUUUCCUGGAGACCGUCCUCUUUCUCAGACCUUUGA
rnacentral:rRNA from 1 species